UAAUUUCAUGCCAAAGAGGACUUAAUUAUGAGUUACAUCGCGUUCCUUUCUCUUUCUUCUCCUUCAUCGUUCGUCCUUUUCCUUCUUGCCCAAUCAUUAGCUUAACCUUAACAACUCAAGAGCUUGAGCCUUAGCUCGAUCCUUGUGUUAACUCAAGAGCUUGAGCCCUAACUCGAUCCUUGUGUUCCUUCUCUUCCCUCGAGAGCUCUAUGACUUGAUUGCACCUUCGAGAAGGCCUCCUCUCAAAAGCUCCAUGGUUGGUUGUCCACCCUUCGCUCAAAAGUCCAUGAGUUCGUAUACUGUAUGUUUUUCCCUCUAAAUUUCCUCUCAUUCUCCUAUUCCUCUUUUCCUCUUACCUUGUUUUUUCUCCCAUAAAUCUCCUGCUCCUCUCUGAUUUAGCACAAAACCUUUAUUUUUCCCGCAACCAAGUAAUAUUCUUUUCCGAAGGUUGACAUCCCGUAAUCUCUUGUUUGAUAAACCUUAAGUCAUGAAAAGACUGCUGUUGCGGCCAAGACCGUGAUUUUCCUGCUUUCACAAUCAAACUUGAAUAGAACUAAACUUGCAUGAUACAAAACUGAAUUAGCUGUGUUAGGCCCAAGGUCUCAUAAAGUCACUCAUAUUCUAUUCGAAGAUUUCAUGGUUCUUGCAUUUUUCAUCCUCUCUCUCUAUAAUAUGGAAGGAGAGGCUACCUUGCCACCUAACACAAUAUGGUGAUGGUACCAAUAAAAAAAAAAAAACCAAAACUUGGUAAGUUUUGGUAGGCAAGGGUAAUUUGGGGAGUUUUGGUCAAAUUAUGUGGUUGUUUGCCUGCAAGCUUCCUCUAUCCAAAAAAUAUGGUAGUCAUGUCACUAUAACAAUAAUGACAAUAAUAAUAGUGACAUGGACAGCUAUUCCUAAGAAUUAUUUAUUUGUAUUAAGACUUUUUUUUAGCAAAAAUAAGGAAAGGCGUAAGUCCAACUACGAUUAUCUUCUAAACUUAUCUAGAUGGGUGAUAUUUCUAAUAAAAGCAAGUUCAUCAUGACUUUUUUGGUAGCUAGGAGAGGCCCGUUAGCCUCCGACAAUAUACAUGAGAACGACAAGGUAAUUGUAUCAGUCCCCACUAAAGACUGACUUGCCGAUGCAUAUGGUUAUUUUAGAAGUUGAAAUUAAAUUCGGUAGUAAACAUGGACUUCUCACUCACUUCCAACUUCAGUAUUAAUUCCAGCAAGGAUGAUGAGAAAAUUGGGAUAGUUGUAGAUGGUGAGAAGAUUGGCGAUGUCAAUGGAUGGCAUAAAGUCGGCGGUGGUAGUAGGAGCAGUGAGGGCAACGCUCAAAUAAU
rnacentral:lncRNA from 1 species